rnacentral:rRNA from 1 species
AGUGAGCGCUGGCGGUAGGCCUAACACAUGCAAGUCGAACGGCAGCACAGUAAGAGCUUGCUCUUACGGGUGGCGAGUGGCGGACGGGUGAGGAAUACAUCGGAAUCUACUUUUUCGUGGGGGAUAACGUAGGGAAACUUACGCUAAUACCGCAUACGACCUACGGGUGAAAGCAGGGGAUCUUCGGACCUUGCGCGAUUGAAUGAGCCGAUGUCGGAUUAGCUAGUUGGCGGGGUAAAGGCCCACCAAGGCGACGAUCCGUGGCUGGUCUGAGAGGAUGAUCAGCCACACUGGAACUGAGACACGGUCCAGACUCCUACGGGAGGCAGCAGUGGGGAAUAUUGGACAAUGGGCGCAAGCCUGAUCCAGCCAUACCGCGUGGGUGAAGAAGGCCUUCGGGUUGUAAAGCCCUUUUGUUGGGAAAGAAAAGCAGCAGGUUAAUACCCCGCUGUUCUGACGGUACCCAAAGAAUAAGCACCGGCUAACUUCGUG